AAAAGAAACUAACAAGGAUUCCCCUAGUAACGGCGAGUGAAGAGGGAAGAGCUCAAAGUUGGAACCGAGCUGGCUUAGCCAGUUUCGGGUUGUAAGCUAGAGAAGCGUUUUCCAGGCGAGCUGGGUAUGUAAGUCCCUUGGAACAGGGCAUCAUAGAGGGUGAGAAUCCCGUAUGCCUACCCAAGCGAACAUCGUCUUGUUGUGAUACGCUUUCAAAGAGUCAGGUUGUUUGGGAAUGCAGCCUAAAAUGGGUGGUAAAUCUCAUCUAAAGCUAAAUAUUGGCGAGAGACCGAUAGCGAACAAGUACCGUGAGGGAAAGAUGAAAAGAACUUUGAAAAGAGAGUUAAACAGUAUGUGAAAUUGCUGAAAGGGAACCGUUUGAAGUUAGACUGGCUGGUUCGUAAUCAAUCCUGGCUUUGGCUAGGAUGCACUUGCGAACCAUUAGCCUGCCAACGACAGUUUGGUCUGUAGGAAAAAAGUGUAGGAAAGGUAGCCUCGUUUUCGGAUGAGGUGUUAUAGUCCUAUGCAAAAUACUAUGGGCUGGACUGAGGAACGCAGCGAACGCUUUUAGGCAGAGCUGCGGGCUGCUUGGUCAAUCUCUGGCUGGAAUUUCUUACUUUCGGGUAGUGCCAGUCAUUGCGAGAUCAACUCGGCUCGUAGACUUCCAGUUUCGCUUAGGUCGU
rnacentral:rRNA from 1 species